rnacentral:rRNA from 1 species
CAGUCGAACGCGAAACCCCGAAAGGGGUUNGUAGAGNNNCAAACGGGUGAGUAACGCGUGGGUGACCUGCCUUCGAGCGGGGGAUAACGUUCCGAAAGGGACGCUAAUACCGCAUAACAUCCUGCCUUUGAACAGGCGGCGAUCAAAGCUGGGGAUUCGCAAGAACCCGGCACUUGAAGAGGGGCCCGCGUCUGAUUAGCUAGUUGGUGAGGUAACGGCUCACCAAGGCAACGAUCAGUAUCCGGCCUGAGAGGGCGGACGGACACACUGGGACUGAGACACGGCCCAGACUCCUACGGGAGGCAGCAGUGGGGAAUUGUUCGCAAUGGGCGCAAGCCUGACGACGCAACGCCGCGUGGAGGAUGAAGAUUUUCGGAUCGUAAACUCCUGUCGAAUGGGACGAAAAGGUCGCGGUCUAAUACUCCGUGAUCCUGACGGUACCGUUAAAGGAAACCCCGGCUAACUCCGUGCCAGCAGCCGCG